rnacentral:rRNA from 1 species
UACGAAGGGGGGCUAGCGUUGCUCGGAAUCACUGGGCGUAAAGGGCGCGUAGGCGGCCAUUCAAGUCGGGGGGUGAAAGCCUGUGGCUCAACCACAGAAUUGCCUUUCGAUACUGUUUGGCUUGAGUAUGGUAGAGGUUGGUGGAACUGCGAGUGUAGAGGUGAAAUUCGUAGAUAUUCGCAAGAACACCGGUGGCGAAGGCGGCCAACUGGACCAUUCUGACGCUGAGGCGCGAAAGCGUGGGGAGCAAACAGG